AUGGAGCUUGCUCCGGAAGACUUAGUGGCGAACGGGUGCGUAACACGUGAGAAAUCUGCCCCGAACUUCGGAAUAACAGUUGGAAACGGCUGCUAAUACCGGAUGCCUUCAUUUGACUGCAUGGUUAUUUGAAGAAAGAUUUAUCGGUUUGGGAGGGUCUCGCGGCCUAUCAGCUUGUUGGAGAGGUAACGGCUCACCAAGGCUUCGACGGGUAGCUGGUCUGAGAGGAUGAUCAGCCACACUGGAACUGAGACACGGUCCAGACUCC
rnacentral:rRNA from 1 species